GCCAAAGCAAGUUAAAAUAUUAUUAGCCAGGCAACUUUCCCUAAAAAGAAGUUAAAAAAAAGGAGAUACACCGCACAUGGCAGAGACAAAUUAUAUGCAUACGUUCCUGAUUCUCUAAAAAGCUUGAAACGUAAUCAUUACAUUCAUGAAACCACUCUGAAAGGAGAGAAGAAACAUGUUUUAUAAGCUAAAGUUACAAACAAAGCCUAAUAUCUCCAGGAUCAACUCUACAAAUAAUAACAAAAAGCCCUCUGCAGAACCCAACUUGCACUCAAUAAGAUGUAUGUACCAGCUUGCCCUAAAUUCUGCAUCCGCCAUCAAUCGCUAGAACAAUCUUUGAUCAAUUAAUCCAACUGGACAAAAACCAAAACUGCUAUGCUACCACACAGAUUUUGACAAAUGUUGAAAGAUCCUCUAUUCACAACGUAAGCACAAGUUCUUUGCAAUCAUCUGUCAAAAUAUGGCAGAUCUGCUAUUUGCAGAGUCAAUGAAACAAAAUGCAUACAGGUCCACAUUAUUUUAGCAGCAUUUACACUUCUCCAAUCAGUCGGCCCUCAAUUGUAGAAUCUCCUUGGCUGUUCUCAUCCGAAAGUACGGCAUGUGAUCCUGGCCAAAACAAAGCCCUAAAUUUCUGCUAUAAAAAUCAGCAUAUUUGAUCAUGAACACACCACAGUCAUAUCUGUUCACAAAAAUACAAAGUUGAAUCAGAAUCCAAAGCGGACUUCAAUUAUUGUAAGAAAAGAAGAUCAGCCAUUGGAGUUUCAUGAGUAUAGCACUUCAGAACAUUAAAUGCAAACUCCACAAGGGAACUCUUUAGAAACAGAAUAAAUAAAGACAACGAAAAAAAGAUGGAAGAACAAUAUAAGAGAAAUUUGGAUAACAGCCAAUAAAAAGAUUGACCCUGAAUAAGGUUAAAUGAAGAAAAAGAAUACAAAUGGCCAACUCAAAACUAGUUUGGAACAGAAACUCUUUUGAACUAAAAGGUAAAACAAUGGUAAUAACAAAUGAAGGUAAGUACGUAUCAUACCCUGAAGGGAAGAUUACUAAAAACCUCCUGAGGUUUAGUCCAAUUAACACUUGGAUCCCUGCUAUUUUCAAAUUAAUAAAUAAAUAUGGAUUGAAACUACAUUAGAUAAGGCCAUUUUAAACUAAAAGCCAAUGUCUUUUCAGGCAGAUAACUCCCUAACAUAUAUGGUUAAUUAAUUAUAAGCCUAACUUUUUAAAAUUAAAGCCAGGGAAUUAAAAACUUGCAAUUCCAAGUAUACCAUGAUUUUUUUUCUUGCAAAAAAUAUGCAUCAAGCAAUAGAAUCCCCUCAGGCCUAUUAUGAAAUAAAGUGUCUUACUACAGGCAGGAAUGCAAGAGGACACACACCCAUUCUGCUGUUCAGGAAGGUCUUCAAGAAAUUCCCGUUCCCAAUUACUAACAUCAAUGUCUUUUUUACUCUUGUCCUUCACUUCAUCAACAUAGUAUUUAGCCUGGCACACCAAUUUGAGGCAGCAGAUUAGUAAAUCUUCUCAUAGAACUUUUAUUUUGUUGUUUUUUUUCCCGUUUUUAAAAGUCAGACAUCUUAAAUAUUAGCUAAUAUCUUUAAAUAAAAAUCUCCACUCCAACAUCAAACAAUUCAUACAACUGGAUCAGGCUAAAUAACAGCUUCUAGUGAAGUCCUGCCAGCAAUCCAAAAGUAAUCUCCCUUAACCUAAAAAUACUACAUGUACAAUUGUACACAAAUGAAGUAGGCCAGAACUGGAGUCUAAAAUGAGCUACUUGAACUAAUUAGUUGCAUGCCUCUCAACAUAUGACAUUUGAAGGCAACACCAGAAAGCAUACCAGAUUUUCCAGCACCCUCAAGUCCCUUCCUUUGAGUGAAUCAAGAUAUUGGAACUUCUGAUCCUUUUUAUUAAUAAUUGCCAAACACCAAUGUAUCUCUCUAUGAACAGGAACAAAUAUUUUAUCACAUUCAAGCAGGAAGUAUCCCAACUUCCUUUCUGUAGUCCAUCUUCUGACAGCUCUAUAAUCAUAGAUGUUCUCCGCGCUUGUUAACUAAGCAUUAAAAUAAAUUCAAGUUAUAUACCAAAAUAAAUAAAUACAUGAGUACCAAAACUGAAUUUUGAAGAAGGAACACAACCAACAAAAAGAGCAUGGCUAUAUAGGAAAAUCAAAAUAUAAAGGUAGGGAAAAAUGUAUAAAACAAACAAAACAAAGUUCCAGAAUUCCAAUGACGUAUAUCUAUCUAUCUAUCUUUCUAUAUCAGCAAGAUUCCACACAUAUUGCCAGUAGGCCCACUACAUAAACUAGGAACUGAGAAUGGUGUGCCAUAAAUAAUAAGGAACUUAGUUAUUUGCUUUAUGUGAGUGAUAACAACCAAAAAGGACAAUAUAAAUGGAAAACAAAGUAAGAGGAAAUUUGAUGACACCUCAAACUCUUGUGAUAAUUAUGAAUAGAGGAAUGUACAGAGACAAAAGUUGCCAAAGGACAUUUUUAACAUUACAGGAAAUAACCAUCAAUGCUUUGCAUAAGUACAAGAAUGGUUAAAGAAGAAAAGCAACCAAACCACCUUUUUGUAGAAAAAAGUGUUGAAGAAAUGGCAUGUCAAAAACUUAUGUGGCUCUCUCUUUUCUCUUUCUUUUAGCAACUCAAGGUACACAUUUAUGACCUCAUCAUUCAACCAUGCACCUGGUCUAAGGCACAGCAAAAUUUCUCCAGUGAUAUCAAUAUUUGAAUUCUUGUGAGUAACCAGGACCUUCCUCCUGCUGUUGGGUGAAAAAGCAUGUUUGACCAAAGCCUCCUCCUCCUCCAUAAGAGCAAUAAAGGGUUCACGAGGUAUCUCCUCCACAGCUUUCUUAACAGGCCGGAUUGACUGGUAAAAGCUCAGCUUCUUUUGAUUAAAUUCAAUAUCAGAAUCCAGUGCUUUUAAUCGCCCGUUCCUCCUCUCCGCUCUCUCCAACAACUUCUUGUACACUUCAACACUGGAUACAUUCACUUCGCCAUUCAAUACCAAUGAAUUCAACAUUUUUUCCGCAUUUUGUACCCCUAAAUUCCCGUCCACAGUAACCACGGAUCUCUCCUCCACAAUCUUAACAUCAUUAUCAUCCUUAUUACCCACAAGGUCAUCUCGUGACCUCUGGCCCAAAACCAUAGACCUCCCUUCUCUUCCAUCUUCUUCAAUAGCCUCAACUUCUUCGAUACUGGAAUCCUCAGAUACCGUCUCCUUCUCAGGCUUCUCAAGUUCGUUAUCAACAUCAAUUACUUGCUUAUCUUUAAGCAAAUACCUAAAAGCACCAAUUGCUCUUCUCCUGGCAGAAUCCAGCUGUCUACACAAGAAAUUCCCCAUAUCAUCAGCACUAGAUUUCUUUUUUUCACUGUAAUCAAUAUCUUUAGACCUGGAUAAACCAAACUUGAGUAUUCUGCAAGGUGCAUGGACUUCUCGGCGAAAUUUCGAGGUUGUUUCUGGGUACCGGGAGAUUCUAGAGACCGUACUAUUGGAGGAUCCUAGGGUUUGGUUAGGAGUUUGAUACAUGGACGACAAUCGGGGCUUUUUUGAAAUAUGAAAAUCAGGAGAAUUUGAAUAUGGGUCUCGCUUGCUGAUGCUGGUUAAGGCACCCAUUGUUCAAAUCUAAAGCUUAACAAGCUUAAAAAUUUAAAACCCAUCUAAAGGAAAGCAUUUUUAGUCUGAAAAUAUAACUAAUUUUGUUAAUAAGGGAGCUUUCUAGACAGAGAUAAAAUCCUAGACAAACAAUUGGGCUACAAAAAUUAGGGUUUUUUUGCGUGGGAAGAAUUUAAAUGUGAAUAGCGCAGGAAACGCUGAGAAAGUGGCGUGAUUUUGAUUUAGAGAUGGUAAGAAAUCCAAAAUUAAAAGAGAGGAAUUGAAACAACAAGCCCAAUUGCAAAUGUGGAAGAAGAAAAGAGCGAAAGAAAGGGUUUUGUUUGUAAUUGCAAGAUCUAAAAAAGUAAGCAAAAAAAGUGAGAUGAGAUUUUAACGACUUGACGUGUUGGGGAAACGAUUUACGAGCUUUGUCGGGCAUAAAAUUUAUCGCACGUUUCGACUUUUUGGUUCUUUCUUUUCUUGGUAAUGAAUUUUUCAGAACAGCGAUGGGCUGGGCUGGAUGGAUUUUUUGCCGAAUCCAGAGGUUGCUUUGGAAAUUGUAGAUAAGAGGUUAAAAAACUGCUUUUUGAAAAAGUAUCAACUAGCGUUUGGACGUGAGGAGCGGCGCGACUCCUUGAAUGAACAUAUUAGCCAGAGAACCCAGAAACCCGCGGCCAUGGCCCAAGGCAGCCAACAAAGACCAGCCAGCCAUAAGACCAGCUCGCACGAUGGGCAUCGCAGAUUUCACUUGGGCGUCUUCACUUCUUAGGCUUCAACUUUAUUCUUGUCCAGGAUGAAGUGGCAAAAGUAUACUAGUAUGCGAUUGGUUUUCAGAAGGAAGCAUAACAAAAACACAAUGAUGCUGGUGACGAAAAGGUGGAAAUUCUGCAAUAGAAAACUUUAUAUAUAAGAAAUACGCACAGCAUUCUAUGCUCUUCUAACCUCCAAUAUGUCUGUUUGUCAGCAGCAGCAUUCAGUUUCCACAGAGGAGUUGAAGAAAGAGUUACCAUUAUAUUCGGUUGUUCGUUAAAUAGCAUGAAGUUUCAACAGAGAAUAUUUGAGGAAAGAGUUUCAACACCUGUGGUGUUUGAUAAAUGGUAUGAGA
rnacentral:misc_RNA from 1 species